GUUUUGUUACGCGAACCAUUAUACACUUUUGUCGCGGUUUCAAUUUUCUAUUCAUAGUGUGAUCAAAUACAUACACUCAUAGGCGCUUUUUCCAUGGUUGUUUUUUUAUAAGAACUUGGCAUUGAAUGAAUAAAUAAAAGAGCAUUUCUUGAAAAAACAGCUUUUUCGAAUUUUGUAGAAAAAUUCACGCGUGUUCACGUAUUAAUAAAAUAGAGUCUGUUAUGAGUUCGAUGUAAACAUAUUUUUGCUGAAAAACAAACUUACGUAAUUGCUGUUUUACGUAAGUUUCAAAACAAGUUCAUUUGGUAUAAAAAGGUGUUCAAAUUUUAAAUGAACAUUGUACUCUCAAAGCUUUUAUUCAAAUAAGUCAAAGGAAGGACAAGACAACAUGAAAUUAUCUCGAAUUUUCGCCGUGGUUUUUGGAAUUUUUGCAGUUUUGGCCGGCGCUGAAGAAACGUCAACAUCUUCAAGCAUCUCAUCAUGUGAGCACGCCAAGUGUACCGCAAGCGCAUCAGCUUCAGCUGGAAAAUAGAUAUUAGUCCUUUGCUAAAAUGAUUUUAAACCAAUUACAAACUUUACACUGCAGACUAUCCUACUGAUGUUUUAUGGUGAGCUAUUUAAAUUAAAUGAGCAAUAUGCAUUUAAAAUACAAAUCUUAUGAACAUAAUCGUCCGGAAUAAAUGAAUAGAUUCAGCGUA